UGGGGAAUUUUGGACAAUGGGGGAAACCCUGAUCCAGCCAUCCCGCGUGUGCGAUGAAGGCCUUCGGGUUGUAAAGCACUUUUGGCAGGAAAGAAACGUCGCGGGUUAAUACCCCGCGAAACUGACGGUACCUGCAGAAUAAGCACCGGCUAACUACGUGCCAGCAGCCGCGGUAAUACGUAGGGUGCAAGCGUUAAUCGGAAUUACUGGGCGUAAAGCGUGCGCAGGCGGUUCGGAAAGAAAGAUGUGAAAUCCCAGAGCUUAACUUUGGAACUGCAUUUUUAACUACCGGGCUAGAGUGUGUCAGAGGGAGGUGGAAUUCCGCGUGUAGCAGUGAAAUGCGUAGAUAUGCGGAGGAACACCGAUGGCGAAGGCAGCCUCCUGGGAUAACACUGACGCUCAUGCACGAAAGCGUGGGGAGCAAACAGGAUUAGAUACCCUGGUAGUCCACGCCCUAAACGAUGUCAACUAGCUGUUGGGGCCUUCGGGCCUUGGUAGCGCAGCUAACGCGUGAGGUUGACCGCCUGGGGAGUACGGUCGGCAGAUUAAAACUCAAAUGAAUUGACGGGGGUCAUAGCUGUUUUCCU
rnacentral:rRNA from 1 species